rnacentral:rRNA from 1 species
CAGUAGCCGCGGGAAUACGUAGGGUGCGAGCGUUAAUCGGAAUUACUGGGUGUAAAGCGUGCGCAGGCGGUUCGUUAAGACAGAUGUGAAAUCCCCGGACUUAACCUGGGAACUGCAUCUGUGACUGGCGAGCUAGAGUAUGGCAGAGGGGGGUAGAAUUCCACGUGUAGCAGUGAAAUGCGUAAAGAUGUGGAGGAAUACCGAUGGCGAAGGCAGCCCCCUGGGCCAAUACUGACGCUCAUGCACGAAAGCGUGGGGAGCAAACAGGAUUAGAUACCCCCGUAGUCCCUGUCUCUUAUAA